rnacentral:rRNA from 1 species
UGCAGUCGAGCGGUAACAGAUCCAGCUUGCUGGAUGCUGACGAGCGGCGGACGGGUGAGUAAUGCAUAGGAAUCUGCCCGAUAGUGGGGGAUAACCUGGGGAAACCCAGGCUAAUACCGCAUACGUCCUACGGGAGAAAGGGGGCUCCGGCUCCCGCUAUGGGAUGAGCCUAUGUCGGAUUAGCUAGUUGGUGAGGUAACGGCUCACCAAGGCCACGAUCCGUAGCUGGUCUGAGAGGAUGAUCAGCCACAUCGGGACUGAGACACGGCCCGAACUCCUACGGGAGGCAGCAGUGGGGAAUAUUGGACAAUGGGGGAAACCCUGAUCCAGCCAUGCCGCGUGUGUGAAGAAGGCCCUCGGGUUGUAAAGCACUUUCAGCGAGGAAGAACGCCUAGCGGUUAAUACCCGCUAGGAAAGACAUCACUCGCAGAAGAAGCACCGGCUAACUCCGUGCCAGCAGCCGCGGUAAUACGGAGGGUGCAAGCGUUAAUCGGAAUUACUGGGCGUAAAGCGCGCGUAGGUGGCUUGAUAAGCCGGUUGUGAAAGCCCCGGGCUCAACCUGGGAACGGCAUCCGGAACUGUCAAGCUAGAGUGCAGGAGAGGAAGGUAGAAUUCCCGGUGUAGCGGUGAAAUGCGUAGAGAUCGGGAGGAAUACCAGUGGCGAAGGCGGCCUUCUGGACUGACACUGACACUGAGGUGCGAAAGCGUGGGUAGCAAA